CAUUACACAAAUAUGAAGCCGGACUGGGAUAGGGCCUCGCUGCCUUGCCCGUCUGGCGCCAUAUUCACCCAUGUCUUUUUGCGUACUACUUGUUUCCUUGGCGGGUCCGCCCGCCAAUUGGACCUUAUUCAAACCUUUUUUUCAGUUGCAAUCAGCGUCAGCAAAACAAAUGUAAUCAAUUACAACUUUCAACAACGGAUCUCUUGGUUCUGGCAUCGAUGAAGAACGCAGCGAAAUGCGAUAAGUAGUGUGAAUUGCAGAAUUCAGUGAAUCAUCGAAUCUUUGAACGCACAUUGCGCCCUUUGGUAUUCCAAAGGGCAUGCCUGUUCGAGCGUCAUUUGUACCCUCAAGCUUUGCUUGGUGUUGGGCGUCUUGUCUCUCUCCCGAGACUCGCCUUAAAAUCAUUGGCAGCCGGCCUACUGGUUUCGGAGCGCAGCACAUUAUUUGCGCUCUUGUCCAGCCGCGGUCGCGCGUCCAUGAAGCUUCUUUCAACCUUUUGACCUCGG
rnacentral:rRNA from 1 species